GAAGGUUUUUCGGAUUGUAAAACCCUUUAAGUUGGGAGGAAGGGCAGUAAGUUAAUACCUUGCUGUUUUGACGUUACCAACAGAAUAAGCACCGGUUAACUUCGUGCCAGCAGCCGCGGUAAUACGAAGGGUGCAAGCGUUAAUCGGAAUUACUGGGCGUAAAGCGCGCGUAGGUGGUUCAGCAAGUUGGAUGUGAAAUCCCCGGGCUCAACCUGGGAACUGCAUCCAAAACUGCUGAGCUAGAGUACGGUAGAGGGUGGUGGAAUUUCCUGUGUAGCGGUGAAAUGCGUAGAUAUAGGAAGGAACACCAGUGGCGAAGGCGCCCACCUGGACUGAUACUGCCACUGAGGUGCGAAAGCGUGGGGAGCAACCAGGAUUAGAUACCCUGGUAGUCCACGCCGUAAACGAUGUCGAUUAGCCGUUGGGAUCCUUGAGAUCUUAGUGGCGCAGUUAACCCGAUAAGUCGCCCCCCUGGGGAGUACGGCCGCAAGGUUAAAACUCAAAUGAAUUGACGGGGGCCCGCCCAAGCGGUGGAGCAUGUGGUUUAAUUGGAAGCAACGCGAAGACCCUUCCCUGCCCUUGCCAUGAUGAGAACUUUCCAGAGAUGGAUUGGUGCCUUCGGGAAUUCAGCCCCAGGUGCUGCAUGGCUGUCGUCAGUUCGUUUCGUGAGAUGUUGGGUUAAGUCCCGUAACGAGCGCAACCCUUGUCCUUAGUUACCAGCACCUAGGGUGGGCACUCUAAGGAGACUGCCGGUGACAAACCGGAGGAAGGUGGGGAUGACGUCAAGUCAUCAUGGCCCUUACGGCCAGGGCUACACACGUGCUACAAUGGUCGGUACAAAGGGUUGCCAAGCCGCGAGGUGGAGCUAAUCCCAUAAAACCGAUCGUAGUCCGGAUCGCAGUCUGCAACUCGACUGCGUGAAGUCGGAAUUGGUAGUAAUCGUGAAUCAGAAUGUCACGGUGAAUACGUUCCCGGCCCUUGUACACACCGCCCGUCACACCAUGGGAGUGGGUUGCUCCAGAAGUAGCUAGUCUAACCAUCAAGGGGGACCGGGA
rnacentral:rRNA from 1 species